UUCAAAUCAACCUGACUACGAAUGAUCUUCAUUCAGAUACGCCCUUGAAGCUAUAAGAAUAUUAGUUAUUAAUUUUACAUUCUUACAGUGGCGAGCCAAAGAAAGUACUGUCUUAUCUCUAUUUUUACGGAAAUCUCGACCCUUGAUGAGGGGGGGAGAGAUUGGCGCAGUCUUUGCGAAUAUUCAAGUCUCGAGAAAAAAGACGGUUCAGAACCUAUCAAGCAAGAGGCGUUUGUGUCGCGUCAGAUGUGGACAACAGUCCAGUAACAGCCGGUUGAUGACGAGAAAUCCUUCUAAUAACGAUAUGGCAUCUAAAAAUCAAACAAAUAUGGAGGAUAACAAGCUCCUAUAAAGAGCAAAGAGAAAUUCAAAGUUAAAGAAGAGAUCCUUUUUGGAAGAAUAUUUGACAAAAGAUUUAUAUUUCAUAUUUAUGAACUAUUUUAUCUUAUUCAUCAAGGUUUUUCUAACCUAAUGGAACUUGAAGAAAUUUUAAAGACAUUUCAUGAAGAAACAUUAAUCGGAAGGAACUUUAUCUAUCUACUAUAGAUAAACAAUUUAGGACUGAAACAUUUGUUCACAUAUACAUAUACAUUUUUUGAUUAUCCAAUUAUUAUGAUAUUAAUGUUCACAUGAAGUUAGGAUUAUUAUUUUUAUUUAUUUUUAUUUAUUCACAUAUUGAAUGUUAGCACACUCAUUCUAGUUAAUAGAACAUUUUGUGUUCAUAACUUAAGAAACAUAUCAUUAAUAGAACAAUGGAAAGUUAUGAAAGUUUUAGAGUAUAAAGUAUAUUUCCAAAGAGCUAAAAUAUUAUUUGAGCACAUAUAUGGAAAUAUAUUAUUGCAUUAUUUACUUAUUUUAAUAAUAAUAAUUUUCAUUAUUAUUAUUAUUAUUAAUAUUAAUAAUUAUUGAUAUUAGUCAUCAUUAUGUUAUACAUUUUUAAAAUCUAUACCAUUAUUUCUGGUAAGAUUUUGAUUAGAUAGAUCUAAGAAGAGUUAAAAGUAAAGAGUAAAGCAUUUAGGAAAAGGAAAAUUUCUAGUUGCUUCAGUUCUGAGGAAUAUCGUGUCCAAUCGUUUGAUACAAGGUGGAGAAAAUGAGAUAUGAAUGUAUGUAUGUGUGUAUUAAAUGAUUUAGUAUGAUUAAUCAUAAUUCAGGGGGGAUUGUUAGAAUAUUAUUCCAAAUUCAUAAUUCGGCAAUUCAUGGCAAGCUUGCAAAACAUAUUUUGAUUUAUGAUUAAUCAUAAUAAUUAGGUAUGAAUGAAUGACCUUGAUCAAUUGAUAUGACAUAAUUCUUCUAUCCAAAACUGAGCAUUACGGAUAGCCAAUUUGAGAAUGACAUAUAAGGAAUCCUGGUGUAGGUUGACAAAAAUAGAUUCAGAAUAGAUCUGUAUUUACGUAGUGAUAUCAAUAAUAUACUAGUUCAUAUCUAUUGUUAAGCUAGUUUAGUAAAAUCGUAUUUAUACUAGUAUGUAUUGGUAUAUAGUUACUUAAUGAAGUUAUAGCUUUAUAGCUGAUAAUAUAUGUUCUAUGACAUUGCAUCAUCAAGCACACUACUCUAAGUAUAGAGUGUCACAUGUGUGCCUGUCAAUCAAACUCCAUACGACUCUGUGCUAAGAUCUUCAUAUUGCUGAACCUAGCAGAUAUUAAUAUUUGCCAUACAAGGG